rnacentral:rRNA from 1 species
AGUGAACGCUGGCGGUAGGCCUAACACAUGCGAGUCGAACGGCAGCACAGUAAGAGCUUGCUCUUACGGGUGGCGAGUGGCGGACGGGUGAGGAAUACAUCGGAAUCUACUUUUUCGUGGGGGAUAACGUAGGGAAACUUACGCUAAUACCGCAUACGACCUACGGGUGAAAGCAGGGGAUCUUCGGACCUUGCGCGAUUGAAUGAGCCGAUGUCGGAUUAGCUAGUUGGCGGGGUAAAGGCCCACCAAGGCGACGAUCCGUAGCUGGUCUGAGAGGAUGAUCAGCCACACUGGAACUGAGACACGGUUCAGACUCCUACGGGAGGCAGCAGUGGGGAAUAUUGGACAAUGGGCGCAAGCCUGAUCCAGCCAUACCGCGUGGGUGAAGAAGGCCUUCGGGUUGUAAAGCCCUUUUGUUGGGAAAGAAAAGCAGCAGGUUAAUACCCCGCUGUUCUGACGGUACCCAAAGAAUAAGCACCGGCUAACUUCGUG